UCCGGCUUGACGCCGGCAGUCCCCCGAGAGUCCUCAGCAUGACCUGUUAGUAACACGGGGCAAGGGUUGCGCUCGUUGCGGGACUUAACCCAACAUCUCACGACACGAGCUGACGACAGCCAUGCAGCACCUUGCUUUGUGCCCCGAAGGGAAGCUACGUUUCCGUAGCGGUCACUCGCAUUCUAGCCCAGGUAAGGUUCUUCGCGUUGCAUCGAAUUA
rnacentral:misc_RNA from 1 species